CCUACGGGUGGCAGCAGUGGGGAAUAUUGCUCAAUGGGCGAAAGUCUGACGCAGCGACGCCGCGUGAAGGAUGAAGGUCUUCUGAUCGUAAACCUCUGUCAGCAGGGAAGAACGGUCACUGUGCUAAUCAUCAGUGAAUUGACGGUACCUACAAAGGAAGCCCCGGCUAACUCCGUGCCAGCAGCCGCGGUAAUACGGAGGGUGCGAGCGUUAAUCUGAUGUGCUGGGCGUAAAGCGCUCGUAGGCGGUAUGUCAAGUCAAGGGUGAAAUCCCCGCGCUCAACGUGGGAACUGCCUUUGAAACUGGUCAACUGGAGUGUGUGAGAGGAGAGCGGAAUUCAAGGUGUAGGAGUGAAAUGCGUAGAUAUCUGGCGGAACAUCAGUGGCGAAGGCGACUAUCUGGGACAUAACUGACGCUGAGGAGCGAAAGCGUGGGUAGCAAACAGGAUUAGAUACCCCAGUAGUC
rnacentral:rRNA from 1 species